rnacentral:rRNA from 1 species
UACGAAGGGGGCUAGCGUUGCUCGGAAUCACUGGGCGUAAAGCGCACGUAGGCGGAUUGUUAAGUCAGGGGUGAAAUCCCGGGAGCUCAACUUCGGAACUGCCUUUGAUACAGCACGUCUUGAGUCCGAUAGAGGUGGGUGGAAUUCCUAGUGUAGAGGUGAAAUUCGUAGAUAUUAGGAAGAACACCGGUGGCGAAGGCGGCCCACUGGAUCGGUACUGACGCUGAGGUGCGAAAGCGUGGGUAGCAAACAGG